rnacentral:tRNA from 1 species
GCCCCAGUAGCUCUAAUGGUAAGACACCAGUCUCAAAAACUGGGUUCUCGCGAACUUCCGGGUUCAAAUCCCGGCUGGGGCG